CAAAAAGUAGUUUAAUUAAAAUAUUAACAUUGGAAGUUAAAGAUUAAGUGUUAACUUACUUUUUGA
rnacentral:tRNA from 1 species